rnacentral:lncRNA from 1 species
CCACUGUGUGAAAUUGAUGGAAUUCAUGGACAUCGGCACUCCCACAUUGAGCAGGACACUGGAUGAGAUAGCAUUGCCCUCUUUUCUGAGUCCUGACAAGGCCUCUCUCUUGCCUCUCCUCCUGUCUGCCAGCCUGUGCUCUGCUGCCCAUUUCCUAGUUCGUGCUCAGUAACUGGUGACUCCUAUAAAGCUCUAAACCUGGGUUGUACUGAAAGGUCAGGAAAAGACGCAAAGGAGGACCCACUUUUUUUUAAAAAUUAAUCACCUCACGCUGCACUAGGUAUAUGCUUAGGCUGUGUUAUCUCAGGCUGCCUUAGAACAGAGAAGGAAAGACAGAGGAU